rnacentral:rRNA from 1 species
UACGUAGGGGGCAAGCGUUGUCCGGAAUCAUUGGGCGUAAAGAGCGUGUAGGCGGCUCGAUAAGUCUGCUGUGAAAGUCCAGGGCUCAACCCUGGAAGGCCGGUGGAAACUGUCGGGCUAGAGUCCGGAAGAGGCGAGUGGAAUUCCCGGUGUAGCGGUGAAAUGCGCAGAUAUCGGGAGGAACACCAAUGGCGAAGGCAGCGCGCUGGGACGGUACUGACGCUGAGACGCGAAAGCGUGGGGAGCAAACAGG